CUGAUCUGAUACAAAUGUUCAUUAUCACCAUUAAUUUUGACCAAUUAAAAUUGCACAAUAUACAAGUCAAAUUUAAUCUAUAAUGUUUAAAUAGUUUUUUAAAAAUAGCUUUUAAAAAUAUUUUUGAUUAUCAAAUAGAUAAACACUAAUCUAUUUCUAAUAAGUCUAAUUUUCUAUUUUUAUUUUUUCAGAUAUACAACAAAAUUAUAAUAAAAAAUUAUAUUACGUAAGUUCAAUUACAAACAACGAAAGGAAAUAGAUAGAAAACGUGACAUAUAAAAUGCAGUGGAUGUGUCCAAACAUGGACAUACUGCUUCGUGAUUCGAUCGUGUGAACCUCUCCUUAUUUUUUUACCUUCUUUUAUCGCGUUGCUUUUUCGCAAUAAAUAUUUUACGAGUCAUAUUGCGAACAUUUUCUAAAUAUAUAACUUUGGGAAGAACAGGAUAAAUUUUAAAAUAAUUACCAUUUAAAAUAACUAAAUUUUCGCGUCAAAUUCUACGCGAAACGAAAAUAUUUAAAAAAAAGAAAACAAUGACGCGUAUCGUAUUUUUAUUGAAUUUCUGAGAGCAUUAUUAGAUAAAAUUAUUCUAUAACAAUAAACAAAACCAAAUACAAGCGAAAACCGAAUAUGUAAAUGUGUUCCCCGUUUUGGAGAUGCGACAUCGUGUUACGAUGAUAUCAUCGUAAAGUGUUACCCAAUAACCGGACUGGUCGCAAAAUCGGAUAUUCUUAGUUUUCGAAUUGAUAAUUUCUAAUCGAUCAAGAUCAAUGACGGAAACGAGCGAUACCUUCGAACAAGGAAAAAUAAAAAUGGCGAAAAAUUGUAGAAAAUGAGAGAAAUAAGAUAAGGAUAAAAAUUGAAAGAGAACAGGAUUCGUAAGAGAAAAGGAUCGAGAAGAACAACUGGGUGACUCACAAUCAGAUUUCGAAGCUACCGUUAUCGAGUUGGCUCCCUUGUUGGAUCCACGACUCCGCCGCUCUGUUUCAAAGUAGAAAACGACACCAUUUACGGCAACUUGCGGAUCGGUUGUUACUCGUUUUCAGACUCGUAUCACACACGAUCAUUCGAGAAAGUAGUCGUAUGUCAAAAUCUUGUCCUCGAUACAACUCGGCCAUCCCUACUGGUCCUCGCGUGUAAAUCUCAUCGCGAUGCGAUAUUUCGAAUGUUUUUUCUUUUUCUUGCAAUAAUAAUCUAUAAAAUAUAAGUUGUAGAAUAUUUCCGAAUUA